AAAAAGAUAAGCUAAUAAAGCUAAAGGGUUCAUACCCCUUAUAUAAAGGUUAUAGUCCUUUUCUUUUUA
rnacentral:tRNA from 1 species